rnacentral:tRNA from 4 species
GCCCCCGUAGCUCAGAUGGAUAGAGCAUCGGUUUCCUAAACCGGUGGCCGCACGUUCGAAUCGUGUCGGGGGCA